rnacentral:rRNA from 1 species
UACGGAGGGUGCAAGCGUUAUCCGGAUUUACUGGGUUUAAAGGGUGCGUAGGUGGUGAGGUAAGUCGGAUGUGAAAGCUCGGAGCUCAACUCCGAAAUGGCAUUGGAAACUACCUUGCUCGAGGGUUGGAGGGGGGACUGGAAUUCUCGGUGUAGCAGUGAAAUGCGUAGAUAUCGAGAGGAACACCAGUGGCGAAGGCGAGUCCCUGGACAACUCCUGACACUGAGGCACGAAAGCUAGGGGAGCAAACAGG